GUAUUUAAAUGGUCAACAUACGUUUCUUUUUCACAGAGCUGUUGUAUACUUUGAUGUGACCGGAAUAUUGUUUUCCAUUUAGUAAUUUAGGUAUUAGUCACAGUGAUUUUCAACAAAAUCAUGGCAUUAUCAACAGGUGUUAUGCUAUCACUAUUUUAUUAUUGUACAAUAGCGAUAUUAAUAACGAAAACAUAUGCUGCAACAACACUACCACCAACAGGAAACGCACAAGCAACAGCAGGAAAAACACAAGCACAAACAGGAAUAAAACCUGCAGUAAACAAACCUCCCCCUUUGGAAUUCA